rnacentral:rRNA from 1 species
UAAGUUCCGUAGGGGAAAGGGGAACCCGCCCCAGGCCCCCAGGUUAAGUUCCCAAAUUAUUUGUUAAAGGAAAAAGGGUUGGGGGGUUCGCCCAACCAAACUAUGAAGUUUGGCUAGAAGCCACCUAUCCAUUCAAGAGGUUGGGUAAUAGCUCAUUAGUCGAGUGACCCUGCGCCCGAAAAUGUACGGGGGCUAAAACCAUUUUACCGAAGGCGUGGAUACCUUUAUAGGUAUGGUAGGAGAGCGUUCUAUGUGUGAUGAAGGUAUCCCGUGAGGAGUGCUGGAACGCAUAGAGGUGAGAAUGCCGGUAUGAGUAGCGAAAGACAGGUGAGAAUCCUGUCCACCGUAAGACUAAGGUUUCCAGGGGAAGGCUCGUCCGCCCUGGGUUAGUCGGGACCUAAGGAGAGACCGAAAGGUGUAUCCGAUGGACAACAGGUAGAUAUUCCUGUACUAGAGUAUGUAGUGAUGGAGGGACGCAGUAGGCUAACUAAAGCAGACGAUUGGAAGAGUCUGUCUAAGCAGUGAGGUGUGAAUUGAGUCAAAUGCUUAAUUCUAUAACAUUGAGCUGUGAUGGGGAGCGAAGUUUAGUAGCGAAGUUAGUGACGUCACACUGCCAAGAAAAGCUUCUAGCGUUUAAACAUACUCUACCCGUACCGCAAACCGACACAGGUAGUCGAGGCGAGUAGCCUCAGGUGAGCGAGAGAACUCUCGUUAAGGAACUCGGCAAAAUGACCCCGUAACUUCGGGAGAAGGGGUGCUGACUUAAAGUCAGCCGCAGUGAAUAGGCCCAAGCAACUGUUUAUCAAAAACACAGCUCUCUGCUAAAUCGUAAGAUGAUGUAUAGGGGGUGACGCCUGCCCGGUGCUGGAAGGUUAAGAGGAGUGCUUAGCGUAAGCGAAGGUAUGAAUUGAAGCCCCAGUAAACGGCGGCCGUAACUAUAACGGUCCUAAGGUAGCGAAAUUCCUUGUCGGGUAAGUUCCGACCCGCACGAAAGGCGUAAUGAUUUGGGCACUGUCUCAACGAGAGACUCGGUGAAAUUUUAGUACCUGAGAAGAUGCAGGUUACCCGCGACAGGACGGAAAGACCCCAUAGAGCUUUACUGCAGUUUGAUAUUGAGUGUCUGUACCACAUGUA